CUAGAUGGUUGUAUGGCUGCCUUUUUAAGGAGGAAAGUCCGGACUCAACAGAACACCAAAGCCGGAUAACAUCCGGCGGGGGAGACCCCAGGGAAAGUGCAACAGAGAGUAAACCGCCAUUUUUUGGUAAGGGUGAAACGGUGAGGUAAGAGCUCACCACUUUUUUGGUAACAAAAAAGGUUAGGUAAACCCCUUUGGGAGCAAGUCCAAGAAACUUUGUCAUAUGACGAGUGAUGUUCUGCACUUAAGUAUGGUAGGACGCUAGAAAUAAUUGGUAACAAUUAUUCAAGAUUAAUAGCCAUAGCCUUUUUUAAGGAACAGAAUCCGGCUUAUAGACCAUCUAGUUUU
rnacentral:RNase_P_RNA from 1 species